rnacentral:rRNA from 1 species
UACGUAGGUGGCAAGCGUUAUCCGGAAUUAUUGGGCGUAAAGAGCGCGCAGGUGGCCUGUCAAGUCAGUAGUGGAAGUCCAUUUUUCAAGGAUGGAAGUGCUAUAGAAACUGAUGGGCUUGAGUGCAGGAGAGGUUAUCGGAAUUCCCGGUGUAGCGGUGAAAUGCGUAGAGAUCGGGAGGAACACCAGUGGCGAAGGCGGGUAACUGGACUGCAACUGACGCUGAGGCGCGAAAGUGUGGGGAGCAAACAGGAUUAGAUA